CACCCGAAGCCGGUGGAGUAACCAUUUGGAGCUAGCCGUCGAAGGUGGGACAAAUGAUUGGGGUGAAGUCGUAACAAGGUAGCCGUAUCGGAAGGUGCGGCUGGAUCACCUCCUUUCUAAGGA
rnacentral:rRNA from 1 species